rnacentral:piRNA from 1 species
UCACGGUGUGUAGAAUACAAUGGGCACAAGC